AGUCUGAGCUGCCGGACUUCUGUGCGGCUUGAGAGUCACCAGGGUGGUGAGCCCCGGCGCCUGUAAGACGAGCACCGACUGAGGCGGGAACUGCCGUUUUGUGGAGCGUGACCUUCAAUUUUCCGUGCGGCAGUGUGGAGUUUGCCGCUGCGCUGCGUUAGGCUUUUAUUUCUGCCUGAGGCCAAUUGUGAGCAGUGAAAACCUUGAUCAACUUUAUCUACAGAACCAAGAGAUAAAGAGUCUCAAGAUCUGUAGAGGAUUUGUGUCCCUGGAAGUUUGACAAAAGCAGAGUUGAAAACAAGAACAUUCGAAACAACUUAUGGAGCUAACCUUCACCUUCUGUAUAAGUCAGUAACAGAUCCUGCCUAGAACUGAAAAUCAAAAAGCAGCACUAUCAGCAUGCUGUUUGAAGAGAGAGGGGAAGGAAAGGAGAAAGAGAUGGAGAGAAACAUCAAUGUGUGCUUGCUUCUCAAGAGCCCCCCACUGGCGACCUGCCCUGCAACCCAGGCAUGUGCCCUGACUGGGAAUCAACCAGCAACCCCUUGGUUCACAGGCCCAUGCUCAAUCCACUGAGCUACACCAGCCAGGGCAGAUAUGUUUUUAAAUUACUUACUGUU